UAGGGAAUCUUCCACAAUGGACGCAAGUCUGAUGGAGCAACGCCGCGUGAGUGAAGAAGGUUUUCGGAUCGUAAAACUCUGUUGUUAGAGAAGAACACGAGUGAGAGUAACUGUUCAUUCGAUGACGGUAUCUAACCAGCAAGUCACGGCUAACUACGUGCCAU
rnacentral:rRNA from 1 species